rnacentral:rRNA from 1 species
AACGAACGCUGGCGGCAGGCUUAACACAUGCAAGUCGAGCGCCCCGCAAGGGGAGCGGCAGACGGGUGAGUAACGCGUGGGAACGUACCCUUAUCUUCGGGAUAGCUCCGGGAAACUGGAAUUAAUACCGAAUGUGCCCUUUGGGGGAAAGAUUUAUCGGAUAAGGAUCGGCCCGCGUUGGAUUAGCUAGUUGGUGGGGUAAAGGCCUACCAAGGCGACGAUCCUUAGCUGGUCUGAGAGGAAGAUCAGCCACAUUGGGACUGAGAAACGGCCCAAACUCCUACGGGAGGCAGGAGUGGGGGAUAGUGGAAAGCCGCGGGAAGGAUGAAGGAGCCAGGACGGGAAAAUGAUGAAGGCAUGAGAGUAGAAAAGCUCUAUUAACGGAGAAGAUAAUGACGGUACCCGGAGAAGAAGCCACGGCUAACUUCGUG